rnacentral:lncRNA from 1 species
AAAAAAACUCUAAAACUUGUGAGUAAAUCACUGUGUUGUGUGAUCAAGACUGUAUAUACUAGAAUAUCAAAAUAAUAAAAAAAUAUAAUAAAAAAAUAAUUUUAAACUAAAAAAUUUUAAAAUUUUACAAAACUCCAGUUGAAACACGAGUCAAGACACCCCUGUAGUGUGGUUUAGGUUCGAGGAUGUUCGGCUGGGCAUGCGUUUCUCUUCUUCUGGCUACUUUUGGUUCUCUGUGUGGUGCACCUUUUCAAUCACUGCUUCUUGCUGUGGCUGCGGUUUGGGUUGCUAGCUCACAGGAGUUGUUUGCGCUUCUUUCUUUGAGUUUUCUUCUAUGGUCUAGGAGAGUCCUUGUCCUUGACAUCAUUGGGAGAGCUGCGGAUUAUUAGGUAGGAUUAUACAUUUUUUUAUAUAUGGACAAUUGGUUUGGGGAUUUUGGUUCCUGAUCUCUCUUUUGGUUAUGGAAAAGUUUUGUUCUUUUGGCUAUUGUUCUAGUUUGGUUAGCUUUUUAGAUGCCUUUUGGUCGACCUUUGCUUGCUCUUCUGUCAUUUCAAAUCCUGUUUUAUUGGGUUUUUUUUUUUUAAUAAUAUGUCAUACUAUUGUUGCCUUUGAGCUUGCUAUGUUUUCACGUCUUUUUUUUUAUCCUGGAUAGUGUAGAGAGGUUCAUUUGCAUUUUUUCUUGGUUUUAUUUCAUACCAUUUUCCCCUCUGGUGCUUAUUUUUGCCCAGCUUUUGUUGCUUUCUUUUCAUGAGCUUACUUUGGUUUAUUUGUAUUUCGUUGCUGAUUUUCUUGAGGCCAUCUUCCUGGUUUUUCUUGUAACUUUCAUUGGAUAUGCAGGUUUGAAUGUGUUCAUGGUGUCUCUCAGAAACUGCUCUCUUGUUGGUUUUGCGGGGCUGUUUGUUUUGUGGAUAUACUCUAGCUGGGUUCUACUUCUUCUCAUUACCUCCUCUUUUUUUUUGCUUGGUCAUGCUUCCAUUUAUGUUGAGCUUUAGUCAGUUGUUGGAACAUGGAGUAUCUGCAGAAUAUUGUAGAUUGUGGACAUAAAUUUAUGGGAAUGGAUGAGCUGCUGCUUUGAGAAUAGUUGAUCUCUUGUCAGAAUCUUUUAAGGGUGUUGUUGCUUGCAAAGUAAUUUAGAAAACAAAUAUAGGUUUCUAAUGAUGAAUUGAUUGAUGUGUUUAUCAUAGG